GGUUCCUUUGCUCGGCUGGUUAGAGUAUCCGUCUAAUAAACGGAAGGUCAUGGGUUCAAUCCCCAUCACAAACCA
rnacentral:tRNA from 1 species